rnacentral:sRNA from 1 species
CCGCGGCCGCGAUUGUACUGUAAAUCCUUUUUUGAGCAGCGCCAGCGGAGCAAACAAGAUUGAAAGGGAAAGCGCGAAAUGUC